rnacentral:rRNA from 1 species
AUUGAACGCUGGCGGCAGGCCUAACACAUGCGAGUCGAGCGGGAACUUCGGUUCUAGCGGCGGACGGGUGAGUAAUGCGUAGGAAGCUACCCGACAGAGGGGGAUACCAGUUGGAAACGACUGUUAAUACCGCAUAAUGUCUACGGACCAAAGUGUGGGACCUUCGGGCCACAUGCUGUUGGAUGCGCCUACGUGGGAUUAGCUAGUUGGUGAGGUAAUGGCUCACCAAGGCGACGAUCCCUAGCUGGUUUGAGAGGAUGAUCAGCCACACUGGAACUGAGACACGGUCCAGACUCCUACGGGAGGCAGCAGUGGGGAAUAUUGGACAUUGGGCGAAAGCCUGAUCCAGCCAUGCCGCGUGUGUGAAGAAGGCCUUCGGGUUGUAAAGCACUUUCAGUAGGGAGGAAGAGUUGAGUGUUAAUAGUACUCAGCUUUGACGUUACCUACAGAAGAAGCACCGGCUAACUCUGUGCCAGCAGCCGCGGUAACAC